ensembl:snoRNA SNORD116 Small nucleolar RNA SNORD116
AGAACAAUGAUGUCUUCCUCAUAUGCAUUCCUUGGAAGAUCUACAGGAAAUGAUUGUGAACACCCUACCGUCUCCUUAUUGAAACUGAGGUCC